UACGUAGGGUGCAAGCGUUGUUCGGAAUUACUGGGCGUAAAGCGCGCGUAGGCGGGUCUGAAAGUCGAUUGUGAAAUACCUGGGCUCAACCUGGGAAUGGCAGUCGAAACUUCAGAUCUUGAGUGUCUGAGAGGAUGGCGGAAUUCCCGGUGUAGUAGUGAAAUACGUAGAUAUCGGGAAGAACACCUGAGGCGAAGGCGGCUAUCUGGCGGUACACUGACGCUAAGGCGCGAAAGCGUGGGGAGCAAACAGG
rnacentral:rRNA from 1 species